rnacentral:rRNA from 1 species
AGGGCACAACCAGGAGUGAAGCCUGCGGCUUAAUUUGACUCAACACGGGGAAACUUACCAGGUCCAGACAUAGUAAGGAUUGACAGACUGAGAGCUCUUUUUUGAUUUUAUGGGUGGUGGUGCAUGGUCGUUCUUAGUUGGUGGAGCGAUUUGUCUGGUUAAUUCCGUUAACGGACGAGACCUCAGCCUGCUAACUAGCUAUGCGGAGGAUUCCAUCCGCGGCCAGCUUCUUAGAGGGACUAUGGUCGUUUAGGCAACGGAAUUUUGAGGCA